CACAUUAUUGUAAUAUCUGUGAAAGAUCAAAUAGUACGGUGACUUUGGAAUUCAAACUGCGCCGGUGUUCGGUGUUAAACAGGAGAGAUGAUUAACGAUUUUUAUGGCCGGAGUUGCAUGGUAUUGAUCUGGACAACGUUUAUUUUCAACAAGACGGCGCUACGUGCCACACAAGCAACGAAACCAUUGAUCUUUUACGGGAAAAGUUUCCGGACCGUGUUAGCUCUCGAUGAGCUCACCCCAACCGACGGGCCAAAACUCGCGCUUUUUCCAUGGAUCCGUAGGGUAUGGUUCAAUCGGUGUACGGUCGCCGUGGCGGUAAAGCUAAGCAAACACAAACAGCAAACAACGUCUUAUUAUGAAGGUGCCAACUUAUUUAUUUACUAUUUGCUUUGGAG